rnacentral:rRNA from 1 species
AGUUGUAAUUUGCAGAGGAUGCUUUUGGCAAGGCACUGUCUAAGUUCCCUGGAAUGGGACGCCACAGAGGGUAAGAGCCCCGUCUAGUUAGAUGCCGAAGCCUUUUUAAAGCUCCUUCAACGAGUCGAGUAGUUUGGGAAUGCUGCUCAAAGUAGGAGGUAUAUGUCUUCUAAAGCUAAAUAUUAGCUAGAGACCGAUAGCGCACAAGUAGAGUGAUCGAAAGAUGAAAAGCACUUUGAAAAGAGGGUUAAACAGUACGUGAAAUUGCUAAAAGGGAAGCACUUGCAACUAGACAUAGAUGUUUUCAAUCAAUUAGUGAUUUUCACUAAUGUGCUUGGAAUUAUCUAGGCUAGCAUCGGUUUACUGUAGAGAAAAAAGAUAUCUAGAACGUAGCCCUCUUCGGAGGGUGUUAUAGCUAGAUGUGUAAUGCUCUACUUAGUAGACCGAGGUGUUAUUGCGCAUUCUUGCAAGGAUGCUGGCGUAAUAGUUGCUAGUGACCCGUCUUGAAACACGGACCAAGGAGUCGUCUUCGUAUGCGAGUGUUUGGGUAUAAAACCCUUGCGCGAAAUGAAAGUAAACGUAGUAAGAACCUCUUUAAAAAAGAGGCAUAUUACCGACCGAUCUUGAUGUUCUCGGAUGGAUUUGAGUAAGAGCAUAC